rnacentral:rRNA from 1 species
CCCUUAGAUGUUCUGGGCCGCACGCGCGCUACACUGAUGCGUUCAACAAGUUUCCUUGGCUGAGAGGCCUGGGCAAUCUUCUUAAUAUGUAUCGUGAUAGGGAUAGAUUAUUGCAAUUAUUAAUCUUGAACGAGGAAUUCCUAGUAAACGCAGAUCAUCAAUCUGCAUUGAUUACGUCCCUGCCCUUUGUACACACCGCCCGUCGCACCUACCGAUUGGAUGUUCCGGUGAAGCCUCGGGAUGAGGACUGGUGCCUUUAUUGGCAUGAGUUGUUCAGAACUUGUCUAAACCUUAUCAUCUAGAGGAAGGUGAAGUCGUAACA